UUUUGUUUGUUGACAAAAGCUGUAUCCCAUCUAGACUCAAAAUCACAGUCCUCCCACAAUCCUCUCCUUCCAUUUUUAAUCCCGACAUCCACUGCGGUCUCCACCGGACAAGAUGGCGGACAGAAUAGUCCCUGUGGGUGAGAAGCGGCUGAUGGAGGUGAAGCUGUGUGAACUGGGCUCCUGGAUGGGCAAGAGGGACUUCACUCCUAACGGACUCCUCGCCAGCAUCCGCAAUGGCCAUGACAGAUAUUACAACAAGUACAUCAACGUGAAGAAGGGAGGUAUCGGAGGCGUGGCCAUGCUGCUGGUUGGAUACGUGGCCCUCAGUUACCUCUGGGAGUACGACCACCUCAGUGAGUACUAACCCUGGGGGAGUACGACCACCUCAGUGAGUACUAACCCUGGUGGGAGUACGACCACCUCAAGCACGACCGCUGGAGGAAGUACCACUAAGCCCCUCCUCUCCUGACCCAGCAGGGCAGAGCCCUGACCUCUGACCCCCUGGCUCCAGCUGUCUGUAUUAUACCACCGAUGUGACCAAUAAUAAAAUAUAACUACUUCUAAUAUUUACAUUUGAUCUGCUGUGUUUGGAGGUUCAUUACAGUGUUUGGAUGUUUUAUUUGCUAGUUGAUAUGACUGUGGACAUAAAUAAAUGUUUUGUUAAAUGGGGAAACGUUA